CAAUAAAGCCACACUUCUAUCUUUGUGGUAUUCGACGUGACUAUCGGUCGGUGCUACUUGGAGAAAUGCAAACCACAUCUCUCUCUCUCUACGUAUAAAAUAGCAACUUCCUCCUCCUUUCUCAUAUCUCUAGGGUUCCUGUUUCCUCCGGUAUCAUUCUCAGUGACCCUUAGGUAGCAUAUGUUUUUGGCGGCUAUAAGUGAAAAAGCUUUCAAAGGGAAAAGAGAUCCGAUAGGAGUCGAAGCUUGAACUCAUGAUUCGGUAUUCGAUUCACAGUGCAAUCGGAUCUUGAUCUGCGCCUAUCCCUGGUGAGAGAAUGAAUCAAUAUACCAUGAUUUCCUCCCAAAAGGUACUUGUAUUACCAGAUCAGCUUUUGACCCGUUGGAUCUUGCUUGUUGUCUUCAAGAGGUUUUCUAUUUCAUCACCAAUAUUUUCUAGUCCAAAGAAUGAAAGGAUACAUCUAUGGAGGGAGAUUGGGCGUCGGCCUAUACUAGUAUUAGUAUCCAGUAGUACUAGUAUCUGGCGGGAUACGUUCCACUGUCAGCCUGAACAACAAUUUUUCAAGAAGGAAGAAGGGGAUCUGGUUAUCGAGCAAUAGCAGGUCACAUCUGACACUCUGACCUGGUUGUACUUCAAAUGGUACUUCUGCAAAUUUGGGUCAGACAUGUGUACGUAAUUCUUGUAAAGUAGUUCAAUUAUGAAGCAACCAUCCAUCACCAUGGAGUUUACAUAAUCGAAGUCACCAUACCAAUUAGGCCUACAGUAGUACUAGUAUCCAAUAGUACUAAUAUCCAGCGGGAUACGUUCACUGGAAGAAGGGGAUCUGGUUGUUGAGCAAUAGCAGGUCACGUCUGACACUCUGACCUGAUUGUACUUCAAAUGGUACUUCUGCAAAAUUGGGUCAAAUAUGUCUACGUAAUUCUUGUAAAGAAGUUCAAUUAUGAAGCAACCAUCUAUCACCAUGGAGUUUACAUAAUCGAAGUCACCAUACCAAUUAGGCCUAUAGUAGUACUAGUAUCUGGCGGGAUACGUUCUACUGUCAGCCUAAACAACAGUUCUUCAAGAAGGAAGAAGGGGAUCUGGUUAUCGAGCAAUAAUAGGUCACGUCUGACACUCUGACCUGACUGUACUUCAAAUGGUACUUCUGCAAAUCUGGGUCAGACAUGUGUACGUAAUUCUUGUAAAGAAGUUCAAUUAUGAAGCAACCAUCCAUCACCAUGGAGUUUACAUAAUCAAAGUCACCAUACCAAUUAGGCCUUUGGGAAUAGCAUUCCUCAACAAGGGACUUCAAAUUUAACAUGGCUUCCGUACAUUCUGCUACUGUUGCCACAAGUGUUCCAUUUUGCUCAAGUAGCUCACUCAUAUACCUCUUUUUCACCGCCACAAUUGCCUCUUGGACGAUAGGCGCCCUCAUAUUGUACACGAAGCACAUCCGGGACCGUAUAAAUGCCCAGGACCCUUGUCGCGGGCAGUUUGCCAGCAAUCGGAGACUCUGUUGCAUGAUCUGUUUUAAUCUAUAUCUCCCUGAACAAUCUCCAUCAUCCUCUGAAGAAGCUCUGAAUUUCCUUCUUCGUCCAUUACCGUAGCUUUGUGUUUGUCUUAAAUUGUCAGGAAUUGUGGGUUGGUUUGAGCAAGCAAGUUAAUACCAGUGCACUGGAUCUAAGCGACUUAUAUGUGUUGUUUUUAUGUACUGAUAAUCUUAUUUAGAGUGAAAAAAAAACAGCGGUUAAAAGAUUAAUUUUUGAUCUCGUAACUCUAUUCA